UACGGAGGGGGCGAGCGUUAUUCGGAAUUAUUGGGCGUAAAGGGCGCGUAGGCGGCUCUACAAGUCAAAGGUGAAAUCCCUCGGCUCAACUGAGGAACUGCCUUUGAAACUGUAAAGCUUGAGGCCGGGAGGGGGUAGCGGAAUUCCCAGUGUAGCGGUGAAAUGCGCAGAUAUCAGGAAGAACACCUAUGGCGAAGGCAGCUCUCUGGGACGGUACUGACGCUGAGACGCGAAAGCGUGGGGAGCGAACAGG
rnacentral:rRNA from 1 species